GAGGGAUGACGGCCUUCGGGGUUGUAAACCUCUUUCAGUAGGGACGAAGCGAAAGUGACGGUACCUACAGAAGAAGGACCGGCCAACUACGUGCCAGCAGCCGCGGUAAUACGUAGGGUCCGAGCGUUGUCCGGAAUUACUGGGCGUAAAGAGCUCGUAGGUGGUUUGUCGCGUUGUUCGUGAAAACUCACAGCUUAACUGUGGGCGUGCGGGCGAUACGGGCAGACUAGAGUACUGCAGGGGAGACUGGAAUUCCUGGUGUAGCGGUGGAAUGCGCAGAUAUCAGGAGGAACACCGGUGGCGAAGGCGGGUCUCUGGGCAGUAACUGACGCUGAGGAGCGAAAGCGUGGGUAGCGAACAGGAUUAGAUACCCUGGUAGUCCACGCCGUAAACGGUGGGUACUAGGUGUGGGUUUCCUUCCUUGGGAUCCGUGCCGUAGCUAACGCAUUAAGUACCCCGCCUGGGGAGUACGGUCGCAAGACUAAAACUCAAAGGAAUUGACGGGGGCCCGCACAAGCGGCGGAGCAUGUGGAUUAAUUCGAUGCAACGCGAAGAACCUUACCUGGGUUUGACAUGCACAGGACGUACCUAGAGAUAGGUAUUCCCUUGUGGCCUGUGUGCAGGUGGUGCAUGGCUGUCGUCAGCUCGUGUCGUGAGAUGUUGGGUUAAGUCCCGCAACGAGCGCAACCCUUGUCCUAUGUUGCCAGCGGGUAAUGCCGGGGACUCGUAGGAGACUGCCGGGGUCAACUCGGAGGAAGGUGGGGAUGACGUCAAGUCAUCAUGCCCCUUAUGUCCAGGGCUUCACACAUGCUACAAUGGCCAGUACAGAGGGCUGCGAAGCCGCAAGGUGGAGCGAAUCCCUUAAAGCUGGUCUCAGUUCGGAUUGGGGUCUGCAACUCGACCCCAUGAAGUCGGAGUCGCUAGUAAUCGCAGAUCAGCAACGCUGCGGUGAAUACGUUCCCGGGCCUUGUACACACCGCCCGUCACGUCAUGAAAGUCGGUAACACCCGAAGC
rnacentral:rRNA from 1 species